rnacentral:tRNA from 1 species
GACGACUUGGCCAGUGGUUAAGGCGAGGGAUUGCUAAUCCCUUGUGCUUGCACGCGUGGGUUCGAAUCCCAUGGUCGUCG